CACGUAGGGCGCAAGCGUUGUCCGGAAUUAUUGGGCGUAAAGGGCGCGUAGGCGGCUCUGCACGUCCGUUGUGAAAUCGCCCGGCUCAACUGGGCGGGGUCAGCGGAUACGGCAGAGCUUGAGCAAGCUAGGGGGCAAUGGAAUUCCCGGUGUAGUGGUGGAAUGCGUAGAUAUCGGGAGGAACACCAGUGGCGAAGGCGGGACUCUGGAGAACACCUGACACUGAGGCACGAAGGCCAGGGGAGCGAACGGG
rnacentral:rRNA from 1 species